UACGGGGGGGGCAAGCGUUGUUCGGAAUUACUGGGCGUAAAGGGCUCGUAGGCGGCCAACUAAGUCGGAUGUGAAAUCCCCAGGCUUAACCUGGGAACUGCAUCCGAUACUGGAUGGCUUGAAUCCGGGAGAGGGAUGCGGAAUUCCAGGUGUAGCGGUGAAAUGCGCAGAUAUCAGGAGGAACACCGGUGGCGAAGGCGGCUCC
rnacentral:rRNA from 1 species